AAUGAAUAGACUAUGAUGUUCACCUUCCAAGCACAUAUCUGAUACAAUAUGCUGUGGAAAAUCCUGUGACUGAGUCUUUUCUGC
ensembl:snoRNA small nucleolar RNA SNORD121A